UACGUAGGGUGCGAGCGUUAAUCGGAAUUACUGGGCGUAAAGCGUGCGCAGGCGGUUCGCUAAGACCGAUGUGAAAUCCCCGGGCUUAACCUGGGAACUGCAUUGGUGACUGGCGGGCUAGAGUAUGGCAGAGGGGGGUAGAAUUCCCCGUGUAGCAGUGAAAUGCGUAGAGAUGUGGAGGAAUACCGAUGGCGAAGGCAGCCCCCUGGGCCAAUACUGACGCUCAUGCACGAAAGCGUGGGGAGCAAACAGG
rnacentral:rRNA from 1 species